rnacentral:lncRNA from 1 species
GUGCCUGGAUGACCUGGAGGGCCUGGUGGCCGUGGGCCGGGACCUGCCCGUGCGCCUGGAGGAGCUGCGGCAGCUCGAGGUGCAGGUGGGCACGGCGCACUCGUGGCGGGACAAGGCCUCCCGCACCUUCCUCAAGAAGAACUCCUGCUACACCCUGCUCGAGGUGCUGUGUCCCUGCGCUGACGCCGGCUCGGACAGCAGCAAGAGGCUCAAGUGGCGGCAGGAGCCGGGGCUGUACCGGCUGGACGCCGAGAGCCUGGGGCUGUCGGCGCAGGACCUGCGGGACCCCGGGGCUGUGGUGAGCUGGGGGGGCGUGGGGGGCACCCCGGGACCCCCAGCACUGGCUCUGCUCCUGUCCCUGCUGUGCCCACCCCGGGACUGGGGGCUUUGGGGUGGGGGCACCGCAUCCGACAUUGGUUCUUGUCACCACUCAUAUUCGUUGUUCUCCUUGGAUUGGGGGGUUUUGGGGUUUUUGUUACCUCUCACACUCCCAAUUUCCCUCCAGAUUUUGGCAUUCAGGGAUUUGGGGUGAGGAGGACCCACAUUUCCCCAGUCCCUGUCACCUCUCACCCCCUGCUCUCCCCCACCCCAGAUUUUGGCAUUCAGGGGUUUGGGGUGGGGGGCACCACAUCUGACCUCAGUUCUUGUCACUGCUCGUGUUCCUUGUUCUCCCUAAACUGAGGGGUUUGGGGGUCCUUGUCGCCUCUCACACUCCCAGUUUCUCUCCAAAUUUUGGCAUUCAGGUGUUUGGGGUGGUGGGCACCGCAUUCAAUUGCUGUUAUCACUCAUGUUCCUUGUUCUCCCUAAAUUGGGGGGUUUGGGGUGAGGAGCACCCACAUUCCCCAGUCCCUGUCACCUCUCACAUGUCUCACACCCCUCAUCUCCCCAGAUUUUGGCAUUCAGGGGUUUGGGGUGGGGGGCACCACAUCUGACCUCAGUUCUUGUCACUGCUCGUGUUCCUCAUUCUCCCUAAACUGGGGGGUUUGGGGGUUUGGGGGUGGGGCACAGCCUGUGACCCCCCAGCCCUGUCACCUCUCACACUCCCAAUUUCCCUCCAGAUUUUUGGCAUUCAAGUCUUAGGGGUGGAGUUCACACCCUGUCACCCCCCCAUCCCUGUCCCCUCUCAACCAAUGCUCUCCCCCACCCCAGAUUUUGGCAUUCAGGUGUUUGGGGUGGGGGGCACCACGUCUGACCUCGAUUGCUGUUAUCACUCAUGUUCCUUGUUCUCCCUAAAUUGGGGGUUUUGGGGUUUCGGGAUGGGGGGCACCCACAUUCCCUCAGUCCCUGUCACCUCUCACACUC